CUUAGAACUUUCAUAGAUCGAUCAGAAGCGAUAUCAAGAGAUGAAGAUGUUUUUGUAGUCCGACGACGUUGUUCUGUACCUUUGAUAUUUUUGUAUGAUUACUAUAACCAUCAAAUCGUUUAUGGUUCCUACAUUAGGAAUAAUGACUCCAAAGUUGUAAUUACCAUGCCAAAAAACAUGAAACUACCUACACUAUAAGAGAAGUGCAAAAAGCAAAUAUGAAGCUCGCAGAUUGAUAAUGUCCUAGAUUCAUAAAGUUGGCAGUCCAAUGAAUCGAAAAGUGUAUUUUUUUUACUCAACGUUCUUAACAGUCUGAAUCACAGACUGUAAGGCCGAAGUCUUUGAUGAAUGAUCUGUAUUUCAAUGGAGACCUCAUAUUAAAACUCGAAUGUUAAUCAACGCCUAAUAGGAAUUUUAUAGACCUUAAUUAAUUUUCCUGGAUAAGUGUCUGGAAAGAGAAGUGGCGAAGAGAAAUAUAAUUAUUAGAUUCAAGUUGAUUUAAUUAUUUUAAAAUAUUCGUUGAACUUUAUUUCAUUUUUCUGUCUUGAUAAAUGAGGCUAAAGAGAUUAAUUAUAUGGAAGAAGAUUAAUCUUCAUUAUUAUCAUUGGAAUAUAUUUGCAAAUAUAUAAUUAAGUGUAUCACAGAACUAAAAGAUUACUUUUAAGAUUAUAUGUCUGAUUAUUGAAACUCGCUAGCAGCUUAUCUCAAAACUACUAUACAAGAAACAAAAUUUUGACUGCAUAUUCCAUAAAUUUUUAUAUCAACGUAAACAGUUUUAAUUUCUAACGCUUAAGUUUUUUGGAAUUGAUAUUUCAAACCACUAAUUAGAUGUUAUGUAUAUUUUUGAAUAUUUUCCACUGCAAUUGAAAAAAGUACAGAAACAAUGAUUAUUGACUAAAAGAGCUACUAAAAUUCUACUUUAUUGAAGUAAGGGCCAAACAAAUUGAGAACUCGUUAUAAGAUAUAAGAAAAUAUCCAACAGUCCUUAUAAGAUAAAUUACUUACACAAUGUGUCCCUGGAUAUGUAAAGAAUUGACUCUUAUAAGAGAUGAACAAUUCAUGAUUACAAUUUUUAUUUCAAAAUGACAAAAAUUUCAAAUUCUGAACCACACACGAAAAUGAUUUUCGUUUGUGGCGUCAUAGGUUUAACGAAAACAUUGAUCAGUUGUCUGCUUGCUGAUCACGAGAUUAUCAUUGCGUGUGCUAUUACAAUAUAGUUUUUAUUUAUUAGUUACGUGAAAAUAAGACAUUUUUCUAUAUAUAAGAAUAAAAAUAAACCUUUUAUACGUUAAGCUCUUACAUUAUUACAUAAUCAAGUUAAAAAUUAGAAGCAUAAUAAACUCAAUUACUAUAAAAUAAAUUGAAUUUGAUUCUCACUUAGAUUAAAAUUAUCCUGGCGACAAAAAUAAUUACAUCUCGCAGCACUUUCAAACUAUUUUUUUGUAUAUUUGAAUUUCUUGGUAUCUUAAAAAAUCUUUAUUCAAAAUUAUUUUUGUCUCAAACCAUGCAAGUUCUCUCUUUAAUAAGUGAGUAACAACCUCUUAUUUGUUGUCCAAAAGCUGCCAAUAUUUGUUCUUUGGUAAUUGAUCGUACUGCGCUGGUUAUUGUGUUUAGUGACAUUCGUAAUGAGUUCUUGAUAUACUAUUUGUUCUUUCCCCAUACAAAUAAAACCAUUAUUGUGGGGUCAAGGGAUCUUGCAGGCGAACACGUUACAUUCAUUCUCCCAAACCUUCUUUCACAAUACUGAUUAUUUAACAAAUCAGUAAUCCUUUGCGUAGAAUGAGAAAUGCAGCAACCAUGUUGAAAAAAAUGAAUCUGUUGAAUAUUUGAACGAAGUUGAUCUUUGCAGACAUUGGAAAUAAGUGUGCUGAUUUGAAGUUUCCUAUCUCGUAUGAUACGGCACACUAACCAUUCACUUUGUUGAAGUACUGCUCUUUUACUUCAAUAAUGUAUUUUAUAAAUUUCAAAAGAACUGCUUGGUGUUUGAUCAAAAGAUUUCUUUUAGCUGGAAGCGUUCUUCAUAAGAAGAAACAUACAAAACUUAUGAUGACAUUGACACAGAAACUUUUGCUUUUAAUUCAAUAGAUGAAGAUUCCAAAAUAUCACUCAUAAAUUAAUGCAUAAUUACAAACAUAAGUAAAACAAAUUAAUAAAGAAUUUAUAAAACAGAGUUUAUACGUACAAAGACAAAAUUUGUCACUCUUUAGAACUAGGUGACAAAGCAAGGUAAUCCCAUGACUUCGCUCCAACAUCAACAAUUUUGUUUUAGGUGAUUAUUAUCAAAAUUUCUAAAGUAUGACAACUUCUACUCCGUACGGAUAAAUUAUGUUUGCUUCAUAAAUUCUCUCUGAAUAUUUUACUUAUGGGAUGGCCCAUUAGUGUGUGGAAGUGCAAUAACUUACUUGAGAUAAAAUAUACAAAACAAUUUUUGGAUAAAACUUGUUAAAUUUGCACAGAUACACAUUUUUAAAAUAUUUUGAGGUUCAACCUAACAACAUGACAACAUGAAGUAAAGUUUCUUAAACCCUGAGACAGGAAACCCAGUAUAUUUGUUAACCAUCGAAUUUAGCGUGAAAUUCUGCAGUUGUCAAGUUUGAGGGAAAAAUAUGAAGAUUUGAAGAAAAUUGGUGCACUAUAAAUGCUGCCUAGUGAACGUUAUUAGUGAGAAGUAACUAAACUUGUUUGGUAAGUACGAAGGUAAAGGAUGGCUGAAAUGUCUGAACAGAAUAGGUAGAAGUUUCGUUUGAGGUUUGGGGUGUUUUUUCUAAAAAGCAUUAAUUUGGGAGAUUUCAAUUAGCAAAAUUUAAUUUUUUUAAAUGGAACAUCCAGUAUAUUAUUUUACCAUCUUAUAAAACUAUUAUAUCCUUUCAAAAUAUGUCUGAUAAUGUUGACUGUUUUUAAGAAAAUUGAAUUUUUAGUUUAUGAUUUAAAAAUAUUCAUCUUUUCAACAAGUAAACACUGAUGUGACGUUUAAAAUACUUCUAAUUUUUGUGACAAAAUCAGCCAGUAAUUUUAUAACUUAAAAAACUGUAAUAAAAUAAAUAGGGUAUCUACAAAAUUCAAAAUAAACAAAUUAAACAAAAAUAACUAACAACAAAUAAGAAAGAACUAAAAACUUCAGAAAACUAUUUUAUUAAAUGUUCAAAAUGACCACCAUUUACUUCCAUACAAUAAUGUAUGUAUCCACACGGUAAUGGGCCACCCCGUAUAUUUGUAAUUACGCUUGUAUUUCUUAGUAAAAUUUUGGAAUUUGCAUCUAUUGAAUUUGGAGUAACCUAAGUUCCUGCAACAAUUCCAUCAUAAGCUUUCUGUUGUAAGAAAUUUCUUGAUCAAGCGCUUAGCAGUACUUUUAUUCAUUGCAGUAUUUGGAGAAGUUUUCACUGAACAAAGUAAUAAUGAUAUUAUCGACAUUGCACAUAAACUUUUUUCCAAUGUGAAAGUUAUAUUUAAAAACAAUUUAAGUUCAAUAAAAUACUGUUUGACAGCUCAUUUCAUUGUAGAUACAACUUUGUUUUCCAAGUGAUGACGUCGUUAGAAAUAUUAAACUUUGGUUUAUAAAAUAAACAUAAAAUAAUUAUAAAUUAUAGUUCCCGGAUGAUUUUAAAGUUUGACUUAUUCACCAAUUAUUUUGUACUUCGAUUUAGGGAUCAAAUGUUGAUUUUAAAACACUAAAACAGUUUUUUUGGUGUUCAUACUUUUGUAAUAGCUCCAAACCUAAAAAUUUGGUUCGCAUUUAUGAAAAAAACGAAUUAUUUUUCAAAAUAAUUCAAUAUCUGUCGAGCAUAUUCAAAAGAGUUCGAGAAAAUAGCACUUUGUUUUCCUUUGUUAAAUAUUUUGUACUUUGAUUUGUGAAAUAAACAUAAAAAAUAUAGUUUUCCCAUAA